UUGCCUGGGGUUGAGAUGGAAUCACACUUGGCCACAGUUUUACUGCUUUUAAGACCUAGUAGGAAGAAUCAAGAUAAGAACAUAGCUAGGGGAUAGCCUACAAGAGGUACUUUUCCUUUCAGCCCUCUUCAGCUAGAGGUUGAGAGAGAUCUGCGGUGCCAGACAAUGGCUGCUAGACUCUUUAUGACUGUGCUAUGGGUACAGCUGAUUCUGCAGGAGUCAGGCUGGUAAGCAACUGGCUAAGCAGUGGAGAAACCCCGGUCACUGUGCACCAUCUCUCUCUAGGGCUGGAACUUCGGUGAUGGCCCAGCGGAUAAGGAUCCUUCUGCCAAAGCAGGGGACCAAGAUUUGAUCCCUGGUCCAGGAAGAUUCCAAAUACAGUGGAGCAACUAAGCCCACAGGCCACAACUACUGAAGCCUGCAAGCUCUAGGGACCACAAGUUGCAGCUACCGAGCCUAUGUGCUGAGACUACUGAAGCCCAUGUGCUCCGAA